rnacentral:rRNA from 1 species
GACGAACGCUGGCGGCGUGCUUAACACAUGCAAGUCGAACGGACAGGCCCUGCUUUUGUGGGGUGCUCGAGUGGCGAACGGGUGAGUAAAACGCGAGUAAACUGCCCUUGACUUUGGGAUAACUUCAGGAAACUGGGGCGCAUACCGGAUAGGAGCUCCUGCUGCAUGGUGGGGGUUGGAAAGUUUCGGCGGUUGGGGAUGGACUCGCGGGUUAUCAGCUUGUUGGUGGGGUAGUGGCUUACCAAGGCUUUGACGGGUAGCCGGCCUGAGAGGGUGACCGGCCACAUUGGGACUGAGAUACGGCCCAGACUCCUACGGGAGGCAGCAGUGGGGAAUCUUGCAGAAUGGGCGGAAGCCUGAUGCAGCAACGCCGCGUGCGUGAUGACGGCUUACGGGUUGUAAACCGCUUUGGCCUGUGACGAAGCGUGAGUGACGGUAAUGGGUAAGGAAGCACCGGCUAACUACGUG